UAUUCCCAUAUUUUCUAUGAACAUAUAUAUAUUCUCCCAAGGUCAAAUAUAACAAAAUGUGUCUAGAAAACAAAGCACCUGAUCACUUGACCGGCCAAAGGAAAAGAAAACCAUUCCAAAACAAACACCAUAAAUAUCCACUUCUCAAAUAAAAAGCAGCAAGGAAAUGAAAACGCUGGAGCACCUUAAGUCUCUCUGCUUUAUUUAGAGUGUUCACCUUUCUGCUGUUUCUGGACCUGCACUAUGAUGAAGGGUGGACGCUAAUGAAUGCAUUUAAUAUGGCACAAGCUGAUCUACCAUCUAAAGAGUACAAUAAUGUCACUAACACUCCUAGAACAUCUCCUGCUUAUGAUGUAAUGAGUUGCAAGUAAUUCAGGUUACCUGGUAAACUACAGAUAUAAUGGACUGAAUCUCAUUGGCAAGAAGCCUAUCAACAUUAAUACUAAAAAUGGAGUUGGGGAGAAGAAUUCAUCUUCCGCCUUCACACAGAAAUUUUGAAAGCCCAAAAAUGAUAAAAGGUAAAAGAAACUUGUAGUUAACUCUUUACUCUGUAAGGUUUUCUAUAUAUAGAUAAAAAUAUAUAGAUAAAAAUAUAACAUUGUUAUAUAAAAAUAUGUUAUAUUUUUAUAUAGAUAAAAUAUAGAUAAUUUUAUAUAGAUAUUUUAUUUUAUAUAGAUAAAAAUAUAACAAUAGGUCCUCACUCCCCUUUUCCUACACUUUCCUCUUCUCGCAGACCAGAGAAGCCGCUCUUUCCAUGCGGUGCAUUCUAGAGACAGAGGUCGAGCCAGUGGCUGCCGCUGUGGCCUGACGGGAGCAAGAAGAGGUUGUGACAGGAAGAAAACGCAGAGUUACUACGAGAGAGAAGCUGGCUAUCUAGCAGCAGCAGCAGCCAACAGAGGCCCGCCCACCUGUUCGCCUGUCCCCCUACCCUGUUUACAAUGCAGCCUGUUUCUGCAAAAGUGGUAUGAUGGAAGGGACCAUGUCUUCAUUAAAUUUUGUGUUGAAGACAGUAAGGACGUUAAUGCAAAUUUUGAAAAAUCCAAACUUGCAUCAGUUGUCUCAGAGGAAGUGAUAAUUUUAAGCAUUUAAAUGAAAUUGAUUUUUUUCACUGUAUUGAUUCAAAUGAUUCCAAACAUAAAAGAAUGGACAGAUCAAUUUUAUGUUGUUUACGAAAAGGAGAAUCUGGCCAGUCAUGACCAAGGUUAACAAAAGAAAGGGCAAGGCUUAAUUGGCUUGGUGUGGACUUCAAUAAUUGGAAAGACUGGGAAGAUUAUUCAGAUGAAGACAUGUCUAAUUUUGAUCGUUUCUCUGAGAUGAUGAACAACGUGGGUGGUGAUGAGGAUGUAGAUUUACCAGAAUUAGAUGGAGCAGAUGAUGAUUAACAAGACAGUGAUGAUAAAAAAAAAAAAAAUGCCAGAUCUGAAGUAAGGAAUAUUGUCAUCACCAGGACUUUGAGAAAGAAAAAUGACUUCUCUGCAAGAUUUAGUAAUUGAGAGAAUUCUUGAGUUGAUAGCUCUAAAGGCAGAUGCUGUAUUUGCCUACUUUCACCCAUUUUCUAUCUGUUUUUUAAAAGGCUUCACUAAGGGUUUAUAUGUACCAUUGUAUGGGGCAAUUUUAAGUCAGCUAAGGCAAUAACCUUAUGCAUGAACAUUUCUCAGAUUUUCAUGAAGCUGUUGAGGUCCCAGGCAAUUGAUGCAGCAGUUGUGAUACAUAAAAACAUCUCACCUAAGUCUCCUUUUCUUCUUAUCAUAGAUGCUGACAUGACAGGAAGCUCUCAGCUUAGGGAAAGACAACUAAAUUUUAGAUUAUAGGACAUGAAUUCAUGUUUGUUCCAUGGCUGGAACAAACUGGCUGACACCUUACUGGCAACCUGCUGUUCUUCUGGUGUUAUCCUUUAGGAUCACUCUACUAAAGUUUAUUUUUCAAAAAAUCUACUUCACAUCAUUCUAUGUGAGUGAUCACUUGCCAGUGUUCCAGAUGUAUCUUAGCUAAAACUAGAGAAUGCCCUAACUUAGAUGGUUUUUGAAGCCUAUAUAUUUGGUAUUGUUUGACCCUUAAGCUUUUACGUUUCUUAGCAAGGAGGACAAAGAAAGCUGUACAUUGUGGUUUGAAUCUGUACAUUUGGACCAAAUUUGUACCUGCAUUGUCAGUACGGCAAACGGGUGAAAAAUGUUUAAUACACUGUUGGAUUUUAUUUUUUUGAUUCAGCUUAUACGAGGGCUGAAAACCUCAAUUUAUGUUCAUGACAGCAGGGAUUUUUUUAAAUGUCUACAUUCUUUCUAAUAAACUGUUGGAAGACUUCUUGGCUGUACUUUUAAGUGUCUGGCUUACUGUAAUUUUUAUGUAUUUACCAUUUGCUGGAAUGGUGUUUUUAUUUUUAUUUGAGGAAGAAUUUGGGAUUAUUCCUCUGUUUGAAAAAAGAGACUUGCUGUAAUGUGACAGGAAACCUUUUAAAAAUGGAUCAUAAUAUUGUAGAUGCACUUUGCAGCAGCUGGAAAAGAAAGUGUUGCGAUUUGAUUGAAACAAAACUAAAUGUGUUGUCCUCCUCUAAAAAAAAGUGUGUGUUGUGUGUGUGUAUAUAUAUAAAAUAAUUAGUAGUUAUCCUGAAAUUAUUAAUUUGAAACUAUGUUUAUGUACUGAAAACAUAAAUACAUUUAUAAUGCUGUUUUGAACCAAGGGUUUCGAUGUAAAAGAAAAAAGAUACAAAUAUAAAAUCAAAUAAUAUUAAAACUCCAUAAAGUUAACUCAGGAAAAAAAAAUAUGAAAAAGAGGCUGUCUUGACUCCUCAUUCAUUUAAUAUUUACAAAGGACCGAUCAUGUAGCAACACAGUGGUAUGUGCAGGUGAUAUAAAAGAGGAAGUGGAAGUUUCCAUAAGAAAGAAGUACUCAUUCUUACAUUUCAAUGUAAUAAUAAAAAUAACUGAACUGGAGCUAGGCAGAGCCAAAUGACACAGUCUACCUUAUUUGCUAGUGUGUGCGUGCACACAUACACACGCCCAGGAAAAUACGGCACAUAAGUACAAGUUUAAAAUGCACUCUAUCUAAAAACUGUUAGCCAUAUUUGCAAUUCUGCUAUCAAUUCAAGAAAUGAACAAAAUCAGAAAC